rnacentral:lncRNA from 1 species
CACGCUUCAUACGGGUCCACCAGAACGACUGCUUCAAGUCAUGGUACAUCUUGGAACUUCCCGGAUGAAUAGAAAGCAGAGAAUUGUGAGCUUCUUCCAUGAUCACCUUCCUGAGAUCACCUUUCGGGACGACAAGGCGGUCCUCGAAAAACAAAGUGUCCCUGGCAUCCACAGUGAAACACUUAUACUUGGGAAGGCUCUUUCCCACACCAAUCUUGACCUUCUUCACCAUAGUAUCAAGUAACUGAGCUGCUCUGACCUGAUCUUCCAAGGUAGGAGAGAUCUGAAGGUUCGCAAGAAAACCCUGAGGAACCAGCUGAAGAUUGAGCUUCCUGAAAGACUCAGAAAGACCCGGCUGGAGAGGUUGCAG